GUGGGGAAUAUUGGACAAUGGGCGCAAGCCUGAUCCAGCCAUACCGCGUGGGUGAAGAAGGCCUUCGGGUUGUAAAGCCCUUUUGUUGGGAAAGAAAUCCUGUCGGUUAAUACCUGGCGGGGAUGACAGUACCCAAAGAAUAAGCACCGGCUAACUUCGUGCCAGCAGCCGCGGUAAUACGAAGGGUGCAAGCGUUACUCGGAAUUACUGGGCGUAAAGCGUGCGUAGGUGGUGGUUUAAGUCCGUUGUGAAAGCCCUGGGCUCAACCUGGGAAUUGCAGUGGAUACUGGAUCACUAGAGUGUGGUAGAGGGAUGCGGAAUUUCUGGUGUAGCAGUGAAAUGCGUAGAGAUCAGAAGGAACAUCCGUGGCGAAGGCGGCAUCCUGGGCCAACACUGACACUGAGGCACGAAAGCGUGGGGAGCAAACAGGAUUAGAAACCCUUGUAGUCC
rnacentral:rRNA from 1 species